UACAGUGGGGGCAAGCGUUGUUCGGAAUUACUGGGCGUAAAGGGCGCGUAGGCGGCCUUCUAAGUCGAACGUGAAAUCCCCGGGCUCAACCCGGGAACUGCGUCCGAUACUGGAAGGCUUGAAUCCGGGAGAGGGAUGCGGAAUUCCAGGUGUAGCGGUGAAAUGCGUAGAUAUCUGGAGGAACACCGGUGGCGAAGGCGGCAUCCUGGACCGGCAUUGACGCUGAGGCGCGAAAGCCAGGGGAGCAAACGGG
rnacentral:rRNA from 1 species